rnacentral:rRNA from 1 species
CAGGGAAUCUUGCGCAAUGGACGGGAGUCCGACGCAGCGACGCCGCGUGGGUGAAGACGGCCUUCGGGUUGUAAAGCCCUUUUCUGGGGGAAGAGAGAGGACGGUACUCCAGGAAUAAGUGUCGGCUAACUACGUGCCAGCAGCCGCGGUAAUACGUAGGGCACGAGCGUUAUCCGGAUUUACUGGGCGUAAAGCGCCUGUAGGCGGUUCUUCAAGUCGUUUGUGAAAGCCCUGGGCUCAACCUGGGGAGGCCAAGCGAUACUGGAGGACUUGAGGGUGACAGAGGGGAGUGGAAUUUCCGGUGUAGCGGUAAAAUGCGCAGAUAUCGGGAGGAACACCAGUGGCGAAGGCGGCUCCCUGGGUUACCCCUGACGCUGAGAGGCGAAAGCUAGGGGAGCAAACAG